AUACGUAGGGGGCGAGCGUUGCCCGGAAUGAUUGGGCGUAAAGGGCGCGUAGGCGGCCUGUUAAGUCUGGAGUGAAAGUCCUGUUUUCAAGAUGGGAAUUGCUUUGGAUACUGAUGGGCUUGAGUGCAGGAGAGGUUAUCGGAAUUCCCGGUGUAGCGGUGAAAUGCGUAGAGAUCGGUAGGAACACCAGUGGCGAAGGCGGGUAACUGGACUGCAACUGACGCUGAGGCGCGAAAGUGUGGAGAGCAAACAGGGUUAGAUACCCUGGUAGUCCACACUGUAAACGAUGAAUGCUAGGUGUAAGAGGUAUCGACCCCUUUUGUGCCGGAGUUAACACAAUAAGCAUUCCGCCUGGGGAGUACGGCCGCAAGGUUGAAACUCAAAGGAAUUGACGGGG
rnacentral:rRNA from 1 species